UACGUAGGGGGCAAGCGUUGUCCGGAUUCAUUGGGCGUAAAGAGCGUGUAGGCGGCCAGGUAGGUCGGUUGUGAAAACUGGAGGCUCAACCUUCAGAGGUCGACCGAAACCAUCUGGCUAGAGUCCGGAAGAGGAGAGUGGAAUUCCUAGUGUAGAGGUGAAAUUCGUAGAUAUUAGGAAGAACACCAGUGGCGAAGGCGGCUCACUGGUCCGGUACUGACGCUGAGGUGCGAAAGCGUGGGGAGCAAACAGG
rnacentral:rRNA from 1 species